UACGAAGGUGGCAAGCGUUGUUCGGAUUUACUGGGCGUACAGGGAGCGUAGGCGGUUGGAUAAGCCCUCCGUGAAAUCUCCAGGCUUAACCUGGAAAGUGCAGAGGGGACUGUUCAGCUAGAGGAUGGGAGAGGAGCGCGGAAUUCCCGGUGUAGCGGUGAAAUGCGUAGAUAUCUGGAGGAACACCGGUGGCGAAGGCGGCGUUCUGGACUGCAACUGACACUGAGGAACGAAAGCCAGGGGAGCAAACGGG
rnacentral:rRNA from 1 species